UGUUGGAGAUUGUGCAGGUAGAAGGGAUGUUAACAGGAGAAAGAAAGAAGGAAAAAGACAUAUUUGAAAGCUACCACGUACCGGGCACUUUCAUAUUCUCUCAUAUUUCAUUUUCACAAGAACACACAACACAUAGACAGAAUUCCUGUCUAUGUGAUGAACUUGGUGAAGUUCAGAGAUGGUAAGUACCUUGCUCAAGGUCAUACAGCUUGUACAGAGUGCAAUCAGGAUUUGAGCUCAGGUGUUCUAGUUCCCAAGUCAUAUUCAGCCCUCCCCAUGCCUUACUGUGGGCUCUAAGCCACCUCCCGCAGCCAGGUGGAUUCCCCCAUCUUUCACUUCACUGGAUGCUUAUGUGUCUUCCUUUUUAGCUCAAACAUCUUCAACUGGAAGCAGCCAACCAUUCCAAGACACAUGAUAAUUACUCACUUAGGAGUAAGCCACACGUCUUUCCUGCUUUGCUUUGACAGCUCUUCUCUUUUGUUUCCAGGGGAGAAAUGGCACAUUAACAAAAUUCCAAUAAUGAAUAUGAUGGUGACAAAGCAGAGAGAAAGCACAAACAAUAGGAGGAAAUGUUGAAAGAUUCCCUUUCAUCUCCUAACGGCAGUCUGAGGCUGGACAUGUCUACUCCUGGGAAUAGAAUCCAAGGGCAAAAGUCCCUCACGAUAAGGAGGCCACAUUUUGAGCUGAAACGUAUGAACACCACAGCUUCAGGGCCAGGCAAAGUUGGGUUUGUGUCCCAGCAGUACAACUCUCCAGACUUUGAGCCUCACUCUCCUCUUCUAUACAAUGGAGCCAAUGACACCUCUUUCCUGUGUAUUAGAAACACCACCUAAGAAGAUGUAGAUAAAGUGACUGCAAGGUAAGAAUUCCAUAAAUAUUAACUCCCCUCCCCACCAUAUCAGAGAACCCUAAAGUUGAGAACUGCAUUUCUGUACAUAUCACUAUAUUAAAAACCUAAAGGGGAAAAAAAUGGACUAUUCUAGUGACUACUUGUUCAUCUCCCACUCAAAUGCCAAAAAAUGUUUUUUCAAGGGAAACAAAAUAGUAGGAAAAGGAAGGAUGCUUUAAAAAAAAAAAAAAAAGUCUCUCUUCUCCCUUGCCCUAAAAAAAAAAAAAAAUGGUUU
rnacentral:lncRNA from 1 species